CUUUGGUACCAGGCUCGAUUGGCAUACAUUAUGCUAGCACAACCUCAGCACAAUUGCAAGAUAAGUAAGACUGGUAUGUUAGGUCUUUGUAUAUUUGAAGAGCAUAUUCUAAUAAACAUGCUCUGCUUGCAUGUUAUUUCUCCUGCCAUCUUAAAAGUCAUAUUGCAAAGUGGCAGUGGCAGGAGGAAGAAAGGUGGAGAAUGCCAUCAUCUUAAAACCUGCUAUCACUGCAAAGCUGACCUUUUAAAAACUGUAAAAUCAAGCUAUGUUAUGCUAUACCUUUUCUGGAAGGUGGAUACAAAAUAAUAGAAAAUUUCCACAGCUGCUUACAGAAGUUCCAGUGUUCAGUUUGAGAAUGAGAGGACAAAUUAAAGCCAUGUUUUCACUUACAUAAAUGUUUGCUCUUAAGAAAUUCACAUGUACUUAAUGUAGGGUGCCAGGCAGAUCACUGCAGCUGUUUAAAAUAGAAAGGCAGAUGGAACAAAUAAAAGAUUUACCACACAGCUUGAUCUCUGCCCCUGAAGCAGCCAUUCAUCAUCAGCACUGCUGAGACAAACAGCAAAGCGAGUUUCCCUUCGGAGCUGCGAUUGGGCGUAGAGAGGUGGCAGAGCUGCACAACAGCCUCGGGAUUGGCUGGGCCGGAACACACCUCUGGAAUCUGUUUAUUUCCUAAAAAGAAGAUACGAUCUUUUACAUUUCGUCUAGAGAUCUUCUCUCUUGCAUUUAAUAUCCAAAUAAACUUGAGUGAGCACAGUUGACCUCUUUGUAACAGCUGUAAUGCCUUGAGCUAAAUGAGUAGACUGAAUUCAGGGAGGGUAUUUUUCGGGUGGUUUUGGUUUUUUCUUCUGACUACAGUGGGGCCUGUGUGAGUUGCCUGGAUCUGUUUUGUAUUUUUCUGGGUGGGUAUGUAUGAUGUUGAAGAACUUUCCUGCUUCUUAACUAGAGCUGAAAGUUGUUUUUCAGAUUUCAUAAUGUACUGACUUCAGCUUAUACUGAAAGCAGUUAUUCAUUUAAAAGUGUUUUUAUGUCUGUUCUGUAAAAUUUUGUUUACGCUUGCAAUAAUGUCUUUCAUUGUUCUUGUAAAUACCAAGUUACCAUUCCUGAUCAUGUUUUAGUGAGCUGUGGCAGCCUUUUUUUUUUUUUUAAUUUAUUUAUUUAUUUCUUUAUUUAAAUCAGUUUAAACAGAUCUGGAAUUUUCUUCGAUUUUUUUUUUUUUUUUUUUUUAAUUUUUCAAAAUUAAGGACUUAAAACAUUGUGGAGUCCUAUGUACAAUAACUUCAGACCAUAACUGUAUGAGAGAUUUGAUAAACUGCAGUGAAUGUUCCAGCUGACUAAGUAUCUGGCAUAACUGAAUACAUCAGAACUCAUUAACCUACUUCCUCUCAAAAAAAAAAAAAACCAACAAGGGAAGAAAAUUAUAUGAAAAGUAGAUAAGACUCUGUUGUGGUUCAGAUGAGAUGCAUACAGAACCAGAAGGCUGUGAAAAGCUAGUUUGUGAAGCAGGAUAUUGUGGGGUUUAUCAAGUAACGAGGGUUUGAACAAACACAAAAUACAGGAAUAUUGACUAUAGGGGUUAUUGUCUUCAGGAGGAAGAGGCAAAGAUGCAUAGGAGAAUGAGAACAGAAACGGAUUGGAGGGAAGAUUAAAGACAAGAGGAACUGACUGCCAGAAAGCUCUUUAAACCCAAGUUCAGCUCCCCCACCAUCCCACCCUGAAUAACUGGGUUUGCUUCUGUUAUAUUUAAAUAUGGUUAAAGACAGUAAUUGGUAAUAUUUAAAUUGCCAAUCAGCUUUUGGAUAAGCACCUAUAUUUUCCUCAUCUAAAUAGAAUCAACAUUUCAAGACUUUCAAAAGAUUAGCCUUGCUACAUUAUUGGUACUGCUUAACCAGUAGUGAACAUUCCAUUCUUAAAUAUUUGCACCAUCAGUGAUGGUUUUAUAAGCUUCCACAUUAUCCCAUUAAAAUUCCUUGCUCUUUGGAGUGAAGUGAUGUGGAAAUAACACCUGCGCUUAUGGAGGAAUUACCAGUGAAGAGAUUCUAAAUUCUCUGAUGCACAAGUGUCUUUGUUUAAAUUCUUAACCCAGAAAAGUGACUGAGAAUAGCUUUCCUCAGAACAUUAGAAAGUAAAUAAAUAUGGAAUUUAACAGCUACAAAUGGAGGAGUGGAAUGGGAAUGGUAUUUCUGAUUUCUAAUUUGUUGUUGUUGUUGUUAAUUAUAAGCUAUGUAACAACCAGAAGUGACUUUUGCCAUAGAGAAAAUAUUUUUCUUGUUGGAUAGGAAUGGGAGAACCUUAUUUCUUUUAUGCUCACUUUAAUAACUGGUGAGUGGAAUAUAUUCUCAAAUUAGUGUAAUUAAGGAUAGCUGUGUGAAAGAGGGAAGCUUGUUAGCUGAUGCAGAGGUUCCUGAAGACCUUCUUCAAGAAAGGGGCUUCUCUGGCUGCUUCCACCACCCCUAGCUUUUUUUCAUGUUAGCUGUAGGGAGUCCUGAGAAGAACUUCUUGUAACUAUGCUUUAGUGAUGAUAUAACAAUUUAGGGCUUCCUUAGUUUACCAGCAUUAUGUUUGCAUAACCUAAGUCUUGGUAAGCUUAAAGUAUGAAUCUAGGCUUUAAGAUUUCUUUCUAGGCUUUAAAAAAACUAGUGAGAAAAUCCUGAAAGUUCUUAUUUUGUUAUCUUAAGCGACACUUUCUUAACCUCAUAAAAUAUUUGCUGAUACUAAGUUGGUUAGUAAAACUGGAAGCUGCUAGCAGAGAGCUUCAGAAAGUGUGAUUGGAUCACAGUUGGCGUUUUGUACUGGCAAGUGCAAGACAGGCAUGCAAGGCAAAACAAAUUCUCAGUUUACAUAAUGUGGUAAACAGUACUUUGUGUUUACUACUCAGAAAUUACAGUAGAUCUGUCAGUUCUAUUCUUGGCCAAAUAGCAGACCAAGAAUGAAAUAAGGAAACAUCAUAACAAUUAAUCUGAGGUGUAUUCUAGUUAAAAAAAAAAAAAAAAAAAAAAAAAAAAGAGGAAAAAAGUAUAGAAUAACAAGAAGGGUGAAUGGAGGAGUGGGGCAAGGAUGACCAGAAGGAGGGAAAAUAUUUAAACAGACUGAGAGCCAGGGUGGAAUAGAAUUGUGAAGGAGUGGUAUGGCACAGUAUUAAAUCAGUAGUGUCGAGAACAGGAAUGGUAUUUCUCUGACUCCUCCUCAUUUGGAAGAAUAAAGAGCUCUCAGUGGCACUACCAUCUCAGUGGUAGCAAAAUGAGCAUUGCAAGCAAAAUGAGAUGGCUUUCUUUUUUUUUUUCUUCCUUCCCCAAGAAAUACAUGUCAGAUUUUUGCCAUGUCCAUAGAUGCAAGAAAACCAGGAAUUACUUAAAUUUGUUUUACUGUAGUUUAAGAAAAUUAUUUUAAGUCUUAACAUUUUAAUGUUAGAUCACUGUGAUAAAAUGGUAAAGUGGUUUGGUUUUGAAGCUGUUGAGUCUGCUGCAGGGCAAUUUAUGUUCCUCAGUCUGACCUCUUAGUCCAUUCUUGGCUCCCAGCAACCUCCCAAAACAGUGAGCCUUGUAGGUUUUAUUUAUUUCCUUCUGGUUCUUCAGCCUGUGGGAUUCAUGUACUACAGAGUCAUUUAUUUUUCAUUUAAGAUUCUUACACUUACAGGUUUUUCUAAUUUGGGCAAUACAUAUAUGACUAAAAUGUGUUAUGAAUUGACAACAUCGGGUUCUGUAGCAUUUCAUCACAUUUACGUUAUUAAACGAAAUGGAAAUGGCCACUUGAGUAACGCUGCACACAGGCAAAACCAAGUAAAUGUUUAACGAUGGUUACAGUGGUUUGUAGGAAUGUGUUUGUGUUGAUUCUAAAUGGCCUUCUCCCUAGUCUGCUUUAGAACAAAUGUAGCAUGUAUAUGUUUUUAUAUUUAUAUUUUUUUUUUGAGUCCUUGAUCUUGGCUUGUCUUUGCAUUUGUCUUAUUUUUUUAAUAUCUUAAUUUUAAUCUUGGAAAAACUGGCAUGCAUGACUUAAACAAAAGAUUUAAACAAAAGAGAUGAACAAGCCUCUGCUUGAUGUGUUUCAUCUUAUCACCUCAUUUUAGUCAUGAGGAGAAGAUUGAGUGAUAGAAAAGACAGAAGGCAUCCUCAUUCAGGAAAGCACCAAUCUAUUGUCUAGUGAAACUGUGAAGGAAGUUGCAAUGAUUGAUAUGACAGGUGGCUGUAACCUCUCUGUAUUGAAAAACUGAAGGAAAAGAAUGAAAUCCCCCAAAGUAAAUGUACCUAAAGAGUAAAGAAAGACUUGAA